UACGUAGGGUGCGAGCGUUGUCCGGAAUUACUGGGCGUAAAGAGCUCGUAGGCGGUUUGUCGCGUCGUCCGUGAAAACUUGGGGCUCAACCCCAAGCUUGCGGGCGAUACGGGCAGACUUGAGUACUGCAGGGGAGACUGGAAUUCCUGGUGUAGCGGUGAAAUGCGCAGAUAUCAGGAGGAACACCGGUGGCGAAGGCGGGGUCUCUGGGCAGUAACUGACGCUGAGGAGCGAAAGCGUGGGUAGCAAACAGG
rnacentral:rRNA from 1 species